AUGAAAGCUAUGGUCUGGAACAUCAGAGGUUUUGGCGCUAGGGGGUGCCGAGACCAAAUCCGUGAUUUGGUGAGAGAUGCUAAUGUCGAUCUGGUUUGCCUCAUUGAAACCUUUAAAGCCUCCUUUUCCAACAACGAACUGUCUUCGAUUGCUGGGCCGAUCAUUUUUGUGUGGCGUUGUUUGCCGGCUUUUGGGCAUUCAGGUGGCAUUCUUAUUGGUGCAAAGUUGGAUUAUAUUGACUUCAUGGAGUUUGAUCACAGGAUCUUUUGGGCAAGUAUGGUGGUGUUUCACAAGAGUCUUAAUAUUUUGUGGGAGAUUAUGGUAGUUUACGGUCUGGCUGAUCACUCCCUUUCCUCGCUCUUGUUGGAUGAGAUCACGACCAAGAUUGACUCGUGUAACCUUCCGCUGGUGAUCGGUGGCGACUUUAAUCUUCUUAGGUUCCCGGGUGAAAACAAUAAUUCUAAUUUCUCCUGGCCUUUGGCGGAUGUGUUUAAUGACUUUAUCGCAGAAUGUGCCCUCCACAAAAUUCCUAGGACUGGAUCGUGUUUCACUUGGUCUAAUCACCAGGCUAAUCUGAUUCGUUCUUCUCAACUCUAG
rnacentral:rRNA from 1 species